CCAAUGAACGCGCAAUAUGUCAUUGUGUCACGCAUGCGCUCAUUAAUAGGCGGUUGAAAAUUAUUAAAUUAUCCGGGGGUUAAAAAAAGUGAUACCGGGUUUGCUUUAAAGUUAGCGGAAGCUGCGGAACUGAUUGAAGAAAGAAGAUGCCCCAAAAGAAGAAGCCUUCAAAAAAUAAUGCAAGGAAGAAAGUAUCCAAGAAAGCACAGAAUGUUGCAGUCCAACCUGAAAGU